rnacentral:rRNA from 1 species
UACACACCGCCCGUCACACCAUGAAAGCCUGUUGUACCAGAAGUCAAUGUGCUAACCGUAAGGGGCAGUUGCCUAAGGUAUGGCCGGUGAUUGGGGUG